rnacentral:rRNA from 1 species
GACGAACGCUGGCGGCGUGCUUAACACAUGCAAGUCGAACGGAAAGGCCCUGCUUUUGUGGGGUGCUCGAGUGGCGAACGGGUGAGUAACACGUGAGUAACCUGCCCUUGACUUUGGGAUAACUUCAGGAAACUGGGGCUAAUACCGGAUAGGAGCUCCUGCUGCAUGGUGGGGGUUGGAAAGUUUCGGCGGUUGGGGAUGGACUCGCGGCUUAUCAGCUUGUUGGUGGGGUAGUUGCUUACCAAGGCUUUGACGGGUAGCCGGCCUGAGAGGGUGACCGGCCACAUUGGGACUGAGAUACGGCCCAGACUCCUACGGGAGGCAGCAGUGGGGAAUAUUGCACAAUGGGCGGAAGCCUGAUGCAGAAACGCCGCGUGCGGGAUGACGGCCUUCGGGUUGUAAACCGCUUUCGCAUGUGACGAAGCGUGAGUGACGGUAAUGGGUAAAGAAGCACCGGCUAACUACGUG